rnacentral:tmRNA from 1 species
GGGGGCGACAAGUUUCGACAGGAGUCGCCGACGCUCGGUUGCAGGUACCGGUUGGCCAGGCCGGUUAAAAUAGGGCCAAAACGAAUAGUUGGCAACACCAACGAAACUGUUUGGGCAACUGCCUAAACCCGAGUCUCCACGCUUGUCGGAAGCGCGGAGACUAACGGUCAAGAAAUCCGACUGCCGCGGCGAAGGUUCGUUUAGCCUAAAAGCCGCCUAAGACUAAAAUAAACAAGUAAGAUUUAGGACGCUCGGGGCCGAUAAUCUUACUCAAACGCCCGAGCUAAACCUGUAGUAACCGCGCUGAGGACCGCCUGGACGCGGGUGCGAAUCCCGCCGCCUCCACAA